rnacentral:lncRNA from 1 species
CCUGCCUCAGUCUCCCGAGUAGCUGGGAUUACAGGCACCCACCACCACGCCUAGCUAAUUUUUUUGUAUUUUUAGCAGAGAUGGGGUUUCACCAUGUUAGCCAGGAUGGCCUCGAUUUCCUGACCUCGUGAUCCGCCUGCCUCGGCCUCCAAAGUGCUGGGAUUUUAGGUGUGAGCCUCCGCACCUGGCCUGAUGGUCCUUUCUAAGAAGUUGUUCUGACUUUCAUUAAAUAUCUUCAUGCAACAAUGAAGCACUCUCUCUACUUCUCUGCUUUGCGUGUGUGGAUUAAUGGGAGGAAUACCUGGAGAGAUCUGAUAUACCCUCUCGCUGAAGGAACUAAAUGGCUCCAAAAUGAAGUAAGUAUGGUGAUGGGGUCAGGCCUUCAGAGGUGGAGUUAAUGCUGAGAGAAUGUUGAAAAGAAGAAAAGAGGAGACAGUACUGACUCCUUCCCUAGCAAGUUAUUAUCUAAAGUUGCUCGCAAAAGUACUUCUAAAUAAAAGCCAA